rnacentral:lncRNA from 1 species
GUUAGGAUCCGUUGACACCAGAUGUCAACGGAUUCGUUGACACCAAAUAUCAAUCAUUCAUUUUAUUUAAUCAAAAGAUAAUAAUUGUAUCCAUAUGCUAUUUCCUGUGCAUUCUUUUUCUCAAUCACACACUAUUAUUGUUACCAUUCCAUCUCCUUUAACGCAACAAAGAUCAUCUCAAUUACCGAAACAUAAUCACCUUUGCUAUUCUUGUCUCUCUCUAAUUUUUUUAUUUGAUAAAUUAUCCCUGCUCUCUGUAUCCCACGAUAUAGAAAACAACCAGAUUUUAUUCUUUGCUCAAAGGGUUUAAAAACCUAGAAAGCAUUUUUUGAGUUAAUUGUCAAUGGAUGAAAUAUCCAGAAAUCUAAUUAGAAAAAGUGUCGAUUGAUGUGUGUCUGCUAAAUAUUGAUUUUAUCUAUCAAGAUUCAAAAGCAAUCCAACCUUACCGUGAUCCCCUUUUCGACAAAUUUAUGUCAAUUCUUCCUAUAAUAUAACUCUUGAAUAUGAAUUUUACAAUCACCUGUUAUAAACAUCCAUUUGAAAUCGAUUAAAAAACCCUACAUCUCAUGAUAAUUUGUCUACUUGAAAUCAACAAAGAAAAUUAUCCUGCUUACCUCCAUUAACCUUUGUCAAUACAAUAAUCCAUAAAAAUAAAUUGCACUUAAUAUCAUAAAGAACGAGAUUUAUUUGCCAAAAAUAAAAUAAAAGUAAAAAGCAAAAUUAAAGCACACCAAAAGAGUCCACUAUUACUUAAUGUGAGUAAUUAUGAGCCUUU